GUGUCUGUAGCCUAGUGGUAAAGGCAGCACUCUAGUACACUGAGGUCAUGGGUUCAAAUCCCAUCAGACACA
rnacentral:tRNA from 1 species